rnacentral:rRNA from 1 species
AGUGAACGCUGGCGGCGUGCCUAAUACAUGCAAGUCGAACGGAGAUUAAGUAGCUUGCUAUUUAAUCUUAGUGGCGCACGGGUGAGUAAUAUAUAGCUAACUUGCCCAUUACUAAGGGACAACAGUUGGAAACGACUGCUAAUACCUUAUACUCCGUAUCUAUAUAAGUAGAUACGGGAAAGUUUUUCGGUAAUGGAUAGGGCUAUAUCGUAUCAGCUAGUUGGUAAGGUAAUGGCUUACCAAGGCUAUGACGCGUAACUGGUCUGAGAGGAUGAUCAGUCACACUGGAACUGAGACACGGUCCAGACUCCUACGGGAGGCAGCAGUAGGGAAUAUUGCUCAAUGGGGGAAACCCUGAAGCAGCAACGCCGCGUGGAGGAUGACACUUUUCGGAGCGUGAACUCCUUUUCUUGGGAAAGAAUUAUGACGGUACCCAAGGAAUAAGCACCGGCUAACUCCGUG